GACGAACGCUGGCGGCGUGCCUAAUACAUGCAAGUCGAACGAGUGGCGGACGGGAGAGUAAUGUAUGGGGAUCUGCACGAUAGAGGGGGAUAACUACUGGAAACGGUGGCUAAUACCGCAUACUAACGGAUGAACCCAUAUGGGAUUAGCUAGUAGGUGGGGGAAAGGCUCACCUAGGCGACGAUCUCUAGCUGGUCUGAGAGGAUGUCAGGCCCCCCUGGGACUGAGACACGGCCCAGACUCCUACGGGAGGCAGAAGUGGGGAAUAUUGCACAAUGGGCGCAAGCCUGAUGCAGCCAUGCCGCGUGUAUGAAGAAGGCCUUAGGGUUGUAAAGUACUUUCAGCGGUGAGGCGUUACCCGCAGAAGAAGCACCGGCUAACUCCGUGCCAGCCGCCGCGGUAAUUC
rnacentral:rRNA from 1 species